GUGACCUAUGUUGAAUGACAGCUGCAAAAUACACUCAAUGAUUAAAAAAGAAAUGCUUUAUUCUCAAUCUCUCAGAUUCAAAGGGAUGUGGACAGAAAGUAAACCACAAAGCUUGCCAUACCAGGCAGGAUUAGGAGGCCAAAACUUAAGAAGAAAAGCUCCAAAUUAUGUAUAUUUUAAAAGGAAAGCAUCACAAAUUUAAGAGCAUCAAAGAAGAUGUGAAUAUUAACUAAGUCUGUCUGCAAAGACCUGUAGAAGGAGGCAAUAACUUUUGAUUUUGAAAGUCAAUAAUUCUACAUGCCUGGGAUCUCACUGAGAACUGAAUGCUGAAUACACAGGAGAGUUUGCUGCAGGGAAUCAUGUGGUUGAAAAGUAGCAGAACAAGAAAACAAAACAAGGGGUUUGAACUUUAAAGAACUAUGUUUUUGCUUUUCCUACACGUAUUUACUUCUUUAUUGCCUUUAAGAAUUGGUUCUAAGAAUAAGCCAAACUGCGGGUCUUACUUUUCAUUUCUGUUUCAAGCCUUCUUGGACAUUGGGUUUGUGCCUACAUGUCAGUUAUAUUUAGGAAAGCCACAAUAGGGGUUUUCCUAGAAAGCUUUUAUGAAGGAAAAAUGUUAUAAUUUCAGCUAUUUAAGUACAUACAAAAUUUUGUCCACAACCUAUAGUGCUCUAGCCAUGUCUGUAUCUGGCACAUAGUAAAUUCUUUAAAAAGUGUUUAUUGAAUAAAUUAAUGCUAUUCAGAGAAAAGUGUCUCA
rnacentral:lncRNA from 12 species